GGCCCAGUUCUCUCUUCUCGUCAGAAGUAUGGGGCCUUGAUGCAUAAGACCCGUGGUCUGCUUGAGGCAUUUACUUCUUGGCGGAGAUUAGCAUCCAGGUCCCACCACUGUGGUAAUGGUGGGGUUUUUUUGAUGUUGUGGUUAGCUGCCCACUAGGAACUGAACUCCACCAUUUCACAUAGGACACGAGCUAGCAGAUGAAAAGAACUUGGGUCACGUGAACGUGGACUGCAUUCAGGCAGGACAGUUAGGAGAGUUUGCAUUUUCCUCCUCUUAAGUGAAAGCUUCUUAACUAAGCUAGGUUUCCAACAUUCCCACUCUGGUCCUUAAGUAAGGAGUAAUCAUAAGAAAUUCU